UCCUCUCUUUUAAUUUAAUAAUACAGAAUACAAAAUCACCUGCUCCAUUGGCCCGUCUUCUCCUCCUCCAUUGUUCCUCUUCCGCUGCUCUCCAUGCCCCUAGGCAGCGCUCCCAUUCAUGGCCGGCGACCCGUCUUCUCCUCCGCUGCUCUCCAUGCCCUAGACGGCGCUCCCAUUCAUGGCCGGUGAGCAGAAGCUUCAGCCUCCGUCGCGCCCCAAGGUACUCCGUCGCCGCGCGCCCAGCCGUCUCCGUUUCCCUCUUUGUUCUCUGUUGCAGGUCACCGGCCAUCCAUCCUGCAACCCAAUCUCUUCUCAAUCCCGCCCCUAUGAAAUCUUUAAAUCUCCUCUUAUUUCAACUUUUCACAUCCAGGGCCGUAGUGAUGAUCUCAGAUGGUUGAUGCAUCAUAUGAGGAGGUGUAGUACGCAUGAUGUUUUCAAGAAAGGAGGCCCCGGUUGGUACUUGAGACCGUCAAGUUGAGCAAUUACAUUGGUCUGGUGGCACCGCAAGUUACAAUCGAAGCCCUACUCGAGGCAGUCUCCCGUUAUUCAUGCCCCACUCCACUGGUAACAUGGAGUCUUCUCAUUUGUAAUGGCAUAGAUAUAGGAACGAGCAAUUCAGCUUUGCUUUAAGAAAGCGACGGACAAAAGAGAACUAGGAUAUUGUUGUUCAGAGCUAGCUCUGGUCACAUGAUCAUCUAUGUAUAUAGUUUUCAACAAAAGAGAACUGGAUUAUUGUUACCGAGGGCUAGCUCUGGCCACAUGGUCAUCCAUGUAUAUAGUUUUCAACAAUAAAUGUGUCCUGAUUGGUACAGCAUAAUUUGCAAUCUUAGUUUCUUCUGAUCUCAUAAUUUGAAGAUGAACUGGAGAGGGGAAUGUGUACUAUGUUCUGAAUCUUUCACACUAAGUGUAUUUGUGGUAUUGAUGUACAGUUAUUAAGAAAGUUACAUUUUCCAGCUA